rnacentral:rRNA from 1 species
GAUGAACGCUAGCUACAGGCCUAACACAUGCAAGUCGAGGGGCAUCGGGAGGGAAGCUUGCUCCCCUUGCCGGCGACCGGCGCACGGGUGAGUAACGCGUAUCGAACCUGCCCCAUACCCGGGGAUAGCCUUGCGAAAGUAAGAUUAAUACCCGAUGGCUUCCUUUUAUCUCCUGAUAGAGGGAAUAAAGAAUUUCGGUAUGGGAUGGCGAUGCGUCCGAUUAGCUGGUUGGCGGGGUAACGGCCCACCAAGGCGACGAUCGGUAGGGGUUCUGAGAGGAAGGUCCCCCACAUUGGAACUGAGACACGGUCCAA